rnacentral:rRNA from 1 species
CCUACGGGCGGCAGCAGUGAGGAAUAUUGGUCAAUGGACGGAAGACUGAACCAGCCAAGCCGCGUGCGGGAGGAAGGUACAGAGUGUUGUAAACCGCUUUUGUCAGGGGAUAAACGUGGGGACGUGUACUCAGAUGAGAGUACCUGACGAAAAAGCAUCGGCUAACUCCGUGCCAGCAGCCGCGGUAAUACGGAGGAUGCGAGCGUUAUCCGGAUUUAUUGGGUUUAAAGGGUGCGGAGGCGGUGUGUUAAGUUAGAGGUGAAAUGUCCGGGCUUAACUCGGGAACGGCCUUUAAUACUGGUAAUCUAGAGAGGAGGUGAGGGAGGCGGAAUGUACGGUGUAGCGGUGAAAUGCUUAGAGAUCGUGCAGAACACCGAUUGCGAAGGCAGCAUACC